AUGCAUAAUACUAUUCCUUGUCGGGUUGCCCUGGCGAAUCGCCAUAUCAAAGUGAGCGGGCAGUGCCCAGUCUGUAAGAUUGGAGCGGAAGACAUUAAGCAUCUCCUGUUCAAAUGUAGCCGAGCAAAGCACGUAUGGCAGGCAUUGGGCAUUCAUGAUUUAAUUGAGAGGUCUUGUCUUGUUCAUCGUCCAGGACGGUCUGUUCUAGAGGAAUUGUUGUACUCAAGCCCUGAUCAGUCACUGGUUUUGGGACAAGCCCCAUUGCCAGAGCUUGUUGCGGUGGCCUGUUGGUAUUUAUGGCGGAAGAGGAGGCAAAUUAGCCGUGAUAUUCAGGUGCAGUCCCUAGAAAGAUCUGUGAUGGUAAUCAAAGGUUAUCCUCAAAUUUUUGGUCUGCUGAAGUUCCUCAUGCAAGAUAUGUUAAGGGGAACUACAGGUGCAGUCAUUCGUGAUAAAAAGGGAAGUUCAUCGCCGCGAGUAAUGCACGGUUGGAUAUGGUUCAAGAUGUUCUUUCGGCUGAUGCUCUCGCUCUCAAGCAUGCUAGAAUUUGUUAGAGUCAAGUAUGAGCAUGCGAAAAGGGAAAUGAAUUUUGUAGCUCAUGAACUAGCCCAGUGGGCUAAGUUCCAGGCCACUAGGGUUUGGUUGGAUGAUCCUCCCCCCUCUAUUGUACCUCUCAUGGUGAACAAUGUGAUCCUUGUAGACGAGGAGAAGAAGAUCCGACGGGCCUCACCCCACCAGCCGGCAUCCCCCUCCCACCCGGAGACGUCCAACUCCAUCACCAACCCUCCGAUAACCCCCUUCCAUAAGUACUGCUUAGUACCAGCUCCAAACCCACGCACGAUUGUUGUUCAACUCGGCUCUGUUCGUUUCCUCCGCCGCCCACGCCACGCCACGCGGGCGCCGCACGAGGAGCGCGCGAGCUGCCGCGAGCCCGCGAUCGACCUGUUCUGUUGA
rnacentral:rRNA from 1 species